UACGUAGGGUGCAAGCGUUGUCCGGAAUUAUUGGGCGUAAAGAGCUUGUAGGCGGUUUGUCGCGUCUGCUGUGAAAAUCCGGGGCUCAACCCCGGACUUGCAGUGGGUACGGGCAGACUAGAGUGUGGUAGGGGAGACUGGAAUUCAUGGUGUAGCAGUGAAAUGCGUAGAGAUCAUGAGGAAGACCAGUGGCGAAGGCGGGUCUCUGGACAGUUCCUGACACUGAGGCACGAAGGCCAGGGGAGCAAACGGG
rnacentral:rRNA from 1 species